CUCAAGCAUACUUGCAACCAUAUGUAGUAGAAUUUUCGGUGUCGAAAAAGCGAAACGUUUUGACAAAAAUGGUGAAUUUUCGUAUUGUUCUAAUCAAAUCGAUAUUUGCUGUGCUCAUGAUUCUACAAUUGGCCUCUGAUGCGGAUAUCGUGACCGUUUUCAAGCGAACUUUUGGCAAAGCGUCUUUAAAUGAUGACAACUGUGGCUGUGGAAAAUAACAACGCAAUACUUUUAGUCGAGAAAAGUGCUAGUCAUAAGUAAAAUCAUUUGCGAGUUUAGAAUUGUUUAAAAUAUAUAAAUUAAAUAUUCCAAAAGUGAGCUUAAACUCCUGAAAUUUUA